rnacentral:misc_RNA from 1 species
UUAAGUUCAGCGGGUGAUCCCACCCGAUUUGAGGUCAAAUUGUCAAAAUGUAGGGGGUUUAGCAUGUGCUUUCGCCAGACAACCUCGACAGAGCGAGCCCGAUGAAGUUUAACAAUCGGUUUAUCGUCACGACGGACACACGCUGAUAUAUUUCGGAUCAGUCACAACUGCGACAAGAUCCAAGUCCAAUCACACAACAU